rnacentral:misc_RNA from 1 species
AACCUAGCACACCUGCGGUGUGUACCUGCGGAAGGAUCAUUACUGAAAACAUUGUGAAGGAGGUUGUAGCUGGCUCUUCUAGGGCAUGUGCUCGCCGCCUUUCAAUAAUUUCAUCCACCUGUGCACCUUUUGUAGGGGACCUGGAAUUGGACGAAAGUCCUUAGUACGAGUCUUCUAUGUCUUCACACACACUUUAAUGUAUGUUUAGAAUGUAUUUUUAUAGGGACUUAAUUGACCCUU